UGAGUAACCUGCCCUGGACUUUGGGAUAACCCUCGGAAACGGGGGCUAAUACCGGAUAUGACAUGCUCUCGCAUGGGGGUGUGUGGAAAGUUUUCGGUCUGGGAUGGGCUCGCGGCCUAUCAGCUUGUUGGUGGGGUGAUGGCCUACCAAGGCGGUGACGGGUAGCCGGCCUGAGAGGGCGACCGGCCACACUGGGACUGAGACACGGCCCAGGCUCCUACGGGAGGCA
rnacentral:rRNA from 1 species